UCUCUCUGACAGGCCAACCCUGCUCCCAUCAUCGUGAACACGGACUCCUUGGAGCCAGGGAUCUCCGUGAAUGGCAGCGAUGGCAUGUUCAAGUACGAGGAGAUUGUCUUGGAACGGGGGAACUCUGGCCUUGGCUUCAGCAUCUGGGGGGGGAUCGACAACCCCCACGUCCCCGACGACCCAGGGAUAUUCAUCACCAAGAUCAUCCCUGGGGGCGCCGCGGCAAUGGACGGCCGCCUG